UUAAAUUGAAGAGUUUGAUCAUGGCUCAGAUUGAACGCUGGCGGCAGGCCUAACACAUGCAAGUCGAACGGUAACAGGAAUCAGCUUGCUGAUUCGCUGACGAGUGGCGGACGGGUGAGUAAUGUCUGGGAAACUGCCUGAUGGAGGGGGAUAACUACUGGAAACGGUAGCUAAUACCGCAUAACGUCGCAAGACCAAAGAGGGGGACCUUCGGGCCUCUUGCCAUCGGAUGUGCCCAGAUGGGAUUAGCUAGUAGGUGGGGUAACGGCUCACCUAGGCGACGAUCCCUAGCUGGUCUGAGAGGAUGACCAGCCACACUGGAACUGAGACACGGUCCAGACUCCUACGGGAGGCAGCAGUGGGGAAUAUUGCACAAUGGGCGCAAGCCUGAUGCAGCCAUGCC
rnacentral:rRNA from 1 species